rnacentral:misc_RNA from 1 species
GAUGAAGAACGUAGCGAAAUGCGAUAAGUAAUGUGAAUUGCAGAAUUCAGUGAAUCAUCGAAUCUUUGAACGCACAUUGCGCCCGCCAGUAUUCUGGCGGGCAUGCCUGUUCGAGCGUCAUUACAACCCUCAGGCCCCCGGGCCUGGCGUUGGGGAUCGGCGGAAGCCCCCUGCGGGCACAACGCCGUCCCCCAAAUACAGUGGCGGUCCCGCCGCAGCUUCCAUUGCGUAGUAGCUAACACCUCGCAACUGGANNGCGGCGCGGCCACGCCGUAAAACACCCAACUUCUGAAUGUUGACCUCGAAUCAGGUAGGAAUACCCGCUGAACUUAAGCAUAUCAAUAAGCGGAGGA